UGGGGAAUCUUCCACAAUGGACGCAAGUCUGAUGGAGCAACGCCGCGUGAGUGAAGAAGGUCUUCGGAUCGUAAAACUCUGUUGUUAGAGAAGAACACGAGUGAGAGUAACUGUUCAUUCGAUGACGGUAUCUAACCAGCAAGUCACGGCUAACUACGUACCAG
rnacentral:rRNA from 1 species